rnacentral:tRNA from 1 species
GGGAUUGUAGUUCAAUCGGUCAGAGCACCGCCCUGUCAAGGCGGAAGCUCUUCCUGUUCUA